UACGUAGGGGGCAAGCGUUGUCCGGAAUCAUUGGGCGUAAAGCGCGUGUAGGCGGCUCGAUAAGUCUGCUGUGAAAGUCCAAGGCUCAACCUUGGGAUGCCGGUGGAUACUGUCGAGCUCGAGUCCGGAAGAGGAGUGUGGAAUUCCUGGUGUAGCGGUGAAAUGCGCAGAUAUCAGGAGGAACGCCAAUGGCGAAGGCAGCACUCUGGGACGUGACUGACGCUGAGACGCGAAAGCGUGGGGAGCAAACAGG
rnacentral:rRNA from 1 species